rnacentral:rRNA from 1 species
GACGAACGCUGGCGGCGUGCUUAACACAUGCAAGUCGAACGAAGUGGCGAACGGGUGAGUAACGCGUAAUCAACCUGCCCUUCAGAGGGGGACAACAGUUGGAAACGACUGAUAAUACCGCAUACUGAAGGAGGGGAUUGAGUCUGAUUAGCUCGUUGGAGGGGUAACGGCCCACCAAGGCGAUGAUCAGUAUCUGGUCUUGGAGGAUGACCGGCCACAUUGGGACGUAGACACGGCCCAGACUCAUACGGGAGGCAGCAGGGGGGAAUCUUCCGCAAUGGACGAAAGUCGGACGGAGCAAAGCCGCGUGAGUGAUGACGGCUUUCGGGUUGUAAAGCUCUGUUAAUCGGGACGCGGUACCGGAAUAGAAAGCCACGGCUAACUACGUGCCAGUAGCCGCGGUAAUAC